GGUCACAGAGGACUUUUGAAAAUUCCCUAACCAAUUUGUUAAUGUGGCUACAUUGAGACACAGGUUAUGCUUCCAUCACAGUAAUUUUAUUACAGUGGUGACGAGAUCUGUAACACUU
ensembl:snoRNA small nucleolar RNA SNORA1